rnacentral:rRNA from 1 species
GCAUAUCAAUAAGCGGAGGAAAAGAAACCAACAGGGRUUGCCCUACGUAACGGCGAGUGAAGCGGCAACAGCUCAAAUUUGAAAUCUGGCCCUCGGGUCCGAGUUGUAAUUUGUAGAGGAUGCUUUUGGUGCGGUGCCUUCCGAGUUCCCUGGAACGGGACGCCAUAGAGGGUGAGAGCCCCGUCUGGUUGGACGCCAAUCCUCUGUAAAGCUCCUUCGACGAGUCGAGUAGUUUGGGAAUGCUGCUCUAAAUGGGAGGUAUAUGUCUUCUAAAGCUAAAUACCGGCCAGAGACCGAUAGCGCACAAGUAGAGUGAUCGAAAGAUGAAAAGCACUUUGAAAAGAGAGUUAAAAAGUACGUGAAAUUGUUGAAAGGGAAGCGCUUGUGACCAGACUUGGGCUUGGUUAAUCAUCCAGCGUUCUCGCUGGUGCACUUUUCCAGUUCAGGCCAGCAUCAGUUUGUCGCGGGGGAUAAAGGCUUCGGGAAUGUGGCUCCUCCGGGAGUGUUAUAGCCCGUUGCGUAAUACCCUGCGGUGGACUGAGGUUCGCGCUCCGCAAGGAUGCUGGCGUAAUGGUCAUCAGCGACCCGUCUUGAAACACGGACCAAGGAGUCGUCUUCGUAUGCGAGUGUUCGGGUGUUAAACCCCUACGCGUAAUGAAAGUGAACGCAGGUGAGAGCUUCGGCGCAUCAUCGACCGAUCCUGAUGUUCUCGGAUGGAUUUGAGUAAGAGCAUACGGGGCCGGACCCGAAAGAAGGUGAACUAUGCCUGUAUAGGGUGAAGCCAGAGGAAACUCUGGUGGAGGCUCGCAGCGGUUCUGACGUGCAAMYCGHUCRUCWAAUAUGGGCAUGGGGGCGAAAGACUAAUCGAACCUUCUAGUAGCUGGUUUCCGCCGAAG